AUUGAACGCUGGCGGCAUGCCUUACACAUGCAAGUCGAACGGUAACGGGCCUUCGGGUGCCGACGAGUGGCGAACGGGUGAGUAAUGCAUCGGAACGUACCUUUCAGUGGGGGAUAACGUAGCGAAAGUUACGCUAAUACCGCAUAUUCUGUGAGCAGGAAAGCAGGGGAUCGCAAGACCUUGCGCUGAUUGAGCGGCCGAUGUCAGAUUAGCUAGUUGGUGAGGUAAAGGCUCACCAAGGCGACGAUCUGUAGCGGGUCUGAGAGGAUGAUCCGCCACACUGGGACUGAGACACGGCCCAGACUCCUACGGGAGGCAGCAGUGGGGAAUUUUGGACAAUGGGGGCAACCCUGAUCCAGCCAUGCCGCGUGAGUGAAGAAGGCCUUCGGGUUGUAAAGCUCUUUCGGCCGGGAAGAAAUCGCACAGGCUAAUACCUUGUGUAGAUGACGGUACCGGAAUAAGAAGCACCGGCUAACUACGUGCCAGCCGCCGCUGUAAGAC
rnacentral:rRNA from 1 species